ACCUGGGUGGCUCAGUUGGUUAAGCAUCUGACUUCGGCUCAGGUCAUGAUCUCAGGGUUCAUGGGUUCGAGCCCCGUGUCGGGCU
rnacentral:tRNA from 1 species